rnacentral:lncRNA from 1 species
GGUCUAACCAAUAAUGUAAGGCUGUCCCAUUCUACAGUCCCCCUCUAAAACAUGCAAGGAUACAUUGUAGUUUAAAAUAAGCCAUUCUUAAAUAUGUGAAUCUUACAGACAGUUUUUUGUUUUUUACUUUUAUGCAACUAGAAAGCCCAGUGAUAAAUAAUACAUAUAUUAACAUAUGGAUUUAUAUUUGCAUAUCCACUGAUGUACCACAUAGACAUAGUCCAACCGCAACCUACGGACAAUUAUAUAAGGAAAUUAGACUGGCACUGCAAGGGUAAUCAUUAAUUACACUGUAUCAGACACAUUUCAAUGUUGCUGAUGUGAACACCAUAAACAAUGAAGAUGAGGUCAGAGGACUGAUGUGUUUCUUCAAAAUGAGCUGCCGAGGACCAAGCCAAAGCUCUGUGAAGAAACUUUGCAUGAAGGUUAGACGCUUCUAAUUUGGUCCUAUACAGGUUACCAUAAUUCACAUAGCUACAUGGUUAUAGACACAGUAUGUUAUGUGUGAAAACAUCACAACAGGCUGAAGAUCACACCAUGAGUCCUAUCUUAUUCAUAAUAUGUGAGUAUUUUCACAGUAUUGAUCAAGGUAAAGCAUACAUUUGGUCUAAUUUUAAUUUUCAAUAUUCAACCUGGUUAUACCAACUGUUAUCUCUAUUUGUUUCCAAAUUCAGCUUUACUGGUUAACUUGGCAGAGACAGGUACACUUUACAUAAUUUAAUUAUAAAAGACAAAUAGUCAAAUCUGUAAUUUUAUUAGCUAAUGUCUGAGAAGAUUCAUUGUAAACAUUGGAACUUGUGAGACUUACAUUUUUGUUCAUAAAUUGUAUUUUUCACUCUUUAAUGAUGAAGCUAAUAUCUACCCAGCAAAGCUCUUUGGAGCUAGUACCCACAUGAGAGAAGGGAAGACUGUUGAUGUGAAGUGCAGCACUACAGGCAGCAGAAAACCAUUGAGCAAGGUCUAUGUUUACCUUUGCAAGAAUGGAAUUGGAAUGAGAGUAAGAGAGCUGGAGAAAGGUGAAGAUGACACCAUUUUCACCAUCAAGGAUGUUGAACGAGAGGACUCAGGCAUCUACAGCUGUGUGUACACCAUAGAAAAACUAAAACUCAGUCAAGUGAACGCAACAGGUGUCAAUCUAGUCAUCAUUCAGGUCUACAGGGAUGGAGAAGAAGAGGUUCAUCAAGAGGUCCGUGAAGAGGCUGCACGUGAUGUGAGAAUGGUCAAUGUAAUCCGACUGAUAAGUUCAGCUGUUGUGGUUAUACUUCUUUUGACUGUAAUGUAUGCUAGUUACUAUUGUCCAAACAUAUAAUGAUAUGUUUCCUGGAUGAUGCACUGACAGAAUAACAAUCCUAUUUUCUUGGUAAUUCUUACAUGUAAUCUACAAUAGGCCUAAAUCUCCCUGUGCUCCUCCCUCAUGACACAAUUAUAAUAGAAUUUUAAAGAAUGUUCAUUGAACCUACCAGACUAGGUUGUUGUCGAUAUCAAUCAGGCCUUUGGUUUUGUGGUUGGGGUGGUGGGUAAAAUGUUUAAUAAAUUGUACAUCAUUUAAUUUAUUUUGUUAAAUGAAUGUAUGGUGGCAGGCAAGUAAU